GUGCUCACUUUGGCAACACAUGUACUAACAUUGGAACAAUACAGAGAAGAUUAGCA
rnacentral:snRNA from 1 species